AGAGUUUGAUCCUGGCUCAGGAUGAACGCUGGCGGCGUGCCUAAUACAUGCAAGUCGAGCGAACGGACGAGAAGCUUGCUUCUCUGAUGUUAGCGGCGGACGGGUGAGUAACACGUGGAUAACCUACCUAUAAGACUGGGAUAACUUCGGGAAACCGGAGCUAAUACCGGAUAAUAUUUUGAACCGCAUGGUUCAAAAGUGAAAGGCGGUCUUGCUGUCACUUAUAGAUGGAUCCGCGCUGCAUUAGCUAGUUGGUAAGGUAACGGCUUACCAAGGCAACGAUGCAUAGCCGACCUGAGAGGGUGAUCGGCCACACUGGAACUGAGACACGGUCCAGACUCCUACGGGAGGCAGCAGUAGGGAAUCUUCCGCAAUGGGCGAAAGCCUGACGGAGCAACGCCGCGUGAGUGAUGAAGGUCUUCGGAUCGUAAAACUCUGUUAUUAGGGAAGAACAUAUGUGUAAGUAACUGUGCACAUCUUGACGGUACCUAAUCAGAAAGCCACGGCUAACUACGUGCCAGCAGCCGCGGUAAUACGUAGGUGGCAAGCGUUAUCCGGAAUUAUUGGGCGUAAAGCGCGCGUAGGCGGUUUUUUAAGUCUGAUGUGAAAGCCCACGGCUCAACCGUGGAGGGUCAUUGGAAACUGGAAAACUUGAGUGCAGAAGAGGAAAGUGGAAUUCCAUGUGUAGCGGUGAAAUGCGCAGAGAUAUGGAGGAACACCAGUGGCGAAGGCGACUUUCUGGUCUGUAACUGACGCUGAUGUGCGAAAGCGUGGGGAUCAAACAGGAUUAGAUACCCUGGUAGUCC
rnacentral:rRNA from 1 species